UGUAAUAAACCGACAGAUGAUAACCAGUCAAAAUAAUUGUAAAAGAUUAGACAGUGUGAUCUACAGAUACGAUGAUUGACAGGAUGAAAUGAAUGAGCAAACUUCAUUUAGAAGCUCAUUUAAAUACAGGAUCAGUUCAUUUGCAUAUUGAUCAGAUGCUUCAGUGCUCUGAGAGUGUUUAUAGUGCUGUGAGUUUAACACUUCAUCACUGACACACACAACAAUCUUCAUCAACAUGACCUUCAUCAUCAUCUUCAUCUGGACUCUCACAGCGUUUGCUCAAGAGAGUAGAGGACAGAUCAGCGUCACUCAGAGUCCCUCAACAGCAGCUCAACCAGGAGAAACAGUGAAGAUCAGCUGCAAAACCAGCACUGAUGUGUACAGAUAUAGUAAUGGGGAUGAAGAUUUAUACUGGUACUUACAGAAACCUGAAGAAGCUCCUAAACUUCUGAUUUAUCGAGUAACAAACCGCUACACUGGAACUCCAUCUAGAUUCAGUGGCAGUGGAUCUAACAGUGAUUUCACUCUGACCAUCAGUGGAGUCCAGACUGAAGAUGCUGGACAUUAUUACUGUCAGAGUUAUCACAGUGGUAAUGUGUUCACACAGUGA